UUGUCUUGUCUCUGUUUUCAAACACUCCUAUUUUCAUCCUCAUAAUAUUAUUAAAAAGAAGAACAGAAAACUGCACCAAUGAAGAAUAAUAUUAUGUACGUUAGAUUUAGUGAUGUAACGCGCCCUUAAAUUACCGCUCCGGGUUCAGUGCAAUUCUGGGCUCUAACACGGCAUACCCGUAGAUUGCUUGAGGGAGUCAGCUGUUGCUACUCACCCUCUAUUUAAUGCACCUUGAUUGUAUCACGCAACCUUUUCUCCGAAAAUAAACAAAAGGCCCAAAAUCAGUUGAAAGCUAGCUAGUCUUGUGUUCGUCCUUAGUUAGGAUUAAAAACUGAAGUCCCAUCUCGUUCAGUCUAGGUCCAGGUCAGUGCUGCAUAUACGUCCACAAACUGAUAAAGUAAUGACGGUAUUAAGGGUUGAUCCAAAGGACCGCUAGGAUCCAAAGGCGCCCUCAGGAUUAUAUAUAUGGUUUUAAAUUAAACGAUUUAAAAGUGUAUUUUUUGCCGUUCAUAGUUAUCUUUUUUAAAUUCUUUCAUCGUAUAUACCCUAUGAGGUUUUUUAGUUGUACUAGUGGUUUGUAUUAGCUCACAAGAUGCGCCAGAACGUUAAUCAGUCCCUAUUCACGCCAGUACCCGCCGUAUUGUAUAAUGCAACCUUUCCUCCAAAAAGAAACAAAAAAGUGCCCAAAAUAUCACUUAAUUCGCCGAAUAAGUAAUCAUAUCAACUUCUGUUUAUCUUUUUGUAUUCCUGAACUAUAACCAUCAUAUUAUUUUGCACACAAUUUUUUAAAUGAAUUAUAUAUGCACACAUAUAUUGCGGAAUAUUAAAAUCCCCCAUAGUCUAUUAAUUGUACUGUAUUAUAAUAUUGCUUCGUAAUAUUUUAUUAAAAACAUAGACAAAUACAUUUGUAUUUGUCUAUGGAUAUUUUUGUGUGAGCGAAGUAACGCCGUGUAAUGAGUAAUUUGUUAUUUUUCUCUAAUUUAUAGGAUGUAAAUUUUAUAUUUUACCUUGUGGGGCAAAAAGCUAAGGCCCGCCACAGGGUAGUGGAUUUUUUGAGAUGCUUCUUCCAUUGUAGAAUUAGUAUGCAAAGUCCCAUUUUUUAAUAAAAACUAAUUAAAGACCCCAUUAAUUUUCUA
rnacentral:lncRNA from 1 species